rnacentral:rRNA from 1 species
UAUCCUGUCUGAAUAUGGGGGGACCAUCCUCCAAGGCUAAAUACUCCUGACUGACCGAUAGUGAACCAGUACCGUGAGGGAAAGGCGAAAAGAACCCCGGCGAGGGGAGUGAAAAAGAACCUGAAACCGUGUACGUACAAGCAGUGGGAGCACGCUUAGGCGUGUGACUGCGUACCUUUUGUAUAAUGGGUCAGCGACUUAUAUUCUGUAGCAAGGUUAACCGAAUAGGGGAGCCGAAGGGAAACCGAGUCUUAACUGGGCGUUAAGUUGCAGGGUAUAGACCCGAAACCCGGUGAUCUAGCCAUGGGCAGGUUGAAGGUUGGGUAACACUAACUGGAGGACCGAACCGACUAAUGUUGAAAAAUUAGCGGAUGACUUGUGGCUGGGGGUGAAAGGCCAAUCAAACCGGGAGAUAGCUGGUUCUCCCCGAAAGCUAUUUAGGUAGCGCCUCGUGAAUUCAUCUCCGGGGGUAG